rnacentral:tRNA from 1 species
GGGCGCAUAGCUCAGCGGGAGAGCAUUACCUUCACACGGUAGGGGUCAGCAGUUCAAUCCUGCUUGCGCCCA